rnacentral:lncRNA from 1 species
AUGCCAGCGCUGCCACUCGUGUCUCUGAUCGGGGGAGAGAGGAGAGGAGAAGGAAAAACAGCCAGUGCCCCAGCCCAUGGGGUCAGUCCCAGCUCGGAGGGGCCCGGGUCAACAGCAUCAUCAUUCACUGUUCCGAUUGGAGGGGAGCAGAGAGUGGGAGGGGCCAGAGUAGAGACUGCAUCAUUGUCCGCUGUUCCGAUUGGAGGGGAGGAGGGAGUGGGAGGAGCCAGGGUCAAGAUAUCAUCAACAUCCAGUUUCGAUUGGAGGAGAGGAGAGAGUGGGAGGGGCCAGGGUCAAGCAGCACCAGAAGUAAGAGCAAUAGCAGAAGCAGCAGCAGCAGGAACAGAACUUGUAGCUGUAGCAGGGCUGUGUAGUGGUCAGACACUGCUUGCACUGGCAGAGUCGCAGCAGCCUCAGGGAAAACUCCAGCAGUAGCAGUAGAAUCAGGAUUGUGUCAGUGCCUCUGUGUGGACUGUCAGGGAAGUAGCUGCAGUAUCACUUUCAGUUUCUGUUUCAACAGUCCCAGCUUCCACAUCCGGUUCAGUAUCUUAAACUGGCCUUAGAGAGUCACUAUGAGCCUUGGCUUGAGUCACUGACCUCCAGUGCCAGACCAGUGUCUGUGAGAGAUCUGUGCCAGACCAGUGUGUGUGUGUGUGAGAUCUGUGUGUGAUGUCCAGUGCCAGACCAGUGUGUGUGUGUGAGAUCUGUGUGUGACGUCCAGUGUCAGACCACUGUGUGUGAGAGAUCUGUGUGUGACGUCUCGUGCCAGAUCAGUGUGUGUGAGAGAUCUGUGUGUGACGUCUAGUGCCAGAUCAGUGUGUGUGAGAGAUCUGUGUGUGACGUCCAGUGCCAUGUGUGUCUCAGGGAGUCUCAGUGUGUCCCAGUGACUCUCGGUGUGUCCCAGUGUGUCCGAGAGAGUCUAAGGGAGUCUCAGUGUGUCCCAGUGACUCUCAGUGUGUCCCAGUGUGUCCGAGAGAGUCUCAGGGAGUCUCAGUGUGUCCCAGUGACUCUCAGUGUGUCCCAGUGUGUCCGAGAGAGUUUCAGGGAGUUUCAGUGUGUCCCAGGGAGUCUGAGUGUGUCCCAGUGACUCUCAGUGUGUCCCAGUGUGUCCGAGAGAGUUUCAGGGAGUCUCAGUGUGUCCCAGUGACUCUCAGUGUGUCCCAGUGUGUCCGAGAGAGUUUCAGGGAGUCUCAGUGUGUCCCAGGGAGUCUCAGUGUAUCUCAGGGAGUCUCUGUGUGUCCCAGGGAGUCUCCGUGUGUCUCAGUAUGUCCCAGGGAGUCUCUGUGUGUCCCAGGGAGUCUCCGUGUGUCUCAGUAUGUCCCAGAUAGUCUCAGUAUGUCCCAGGGAGUCUCAGUAUGUCCCAGGGAGUCUCCGUGUGUCUCAGUGUGUCCCAGGGAGUCUCAGUAUGUCCCAGGGAGUCUCAGUGUCUAGCUCCUGCCUUGUGUGUCUUUGAUCAUGUAUCUCAGAGGUUCAACCUACAGUAUCUCUCCAGGCUGUGUCGUGUGGCCCCUCGCUCUGUGUCCGGCCCCUGUCCCUGGUGGUCCAUGCUCGCUCUCCGACUCUGUCCCUGGUGGUCCGUGCUCGCUCUCUGACUCUGUCCCGGUGGUCCGUGCUCGCUCUCCGACUCUGUCCCCGGUGGUCCGUGCUCGCUCUCCGACUCUGUCCCGGUGGACCGUGCUCGGUCUUCGGCCCCUGUCCGGCCCCUGUCCCCGGCGGUCCGUGCUCGCUCUCCGGCCCCUGGCCCCUCAGAGCCCGCUGUCCGGCCCCUGGCCCCUCAGACCUCGCUCUCCAGGCUGGAGAAGUGCGCGGACCCGCGGCGGGAGCACAGGCUCUUGGCCUUGAGGGGCAGGCGGGGCGAGUAGAAGCGGGGCCGGGGCUGGGGCACGGAGCGCAGUCGCUGGUACUGCAGCCGGGCGCUGCCGGCGGCCCCGGG